GGGGCGGGGCGGACACGGGCCGCGCGCUUCCUUUGUGCGGCGAGCCCCGCCUCGCGCCCUCCGGAAGGCGGGUUAGGGACGCCCGGGGCUCAGCUUAGGGAGGCGGGCGCCACGCCACGAGGAGGCUGCCCUGAUAGCCGGUGCAAGUGCUCCUUGGCGGGGCGGCCCGCGACUCCCGCCUUGGACCGUUCACUCCCUGAGGGGCCUGGGGGUCAGUCAGAAGACUAACGACCACCAGUCACCGAGAGCUCAGUUCGUGCCAAACCCUGCUCGCGCUGUCCCCGACUUAUUGUUCACAACGACCCUACAAGUCAUUCUCCUUCCCACUGGGAACCGAGGAUCAGAGGGAAGUCAUGGCCCGAGUGCCCCGGUCACACCUCCGUGAGCGGCCUCGGGCUCGCGGUUGAGGCUGAUUGAGGAAGUGGGUUCAGGCGGCCCGCCGUGCCUGGCACACGGUCAGAGUCCCCUGACAGGACUUUCCCCUUUCUCUGAGAUGACAAUCAGGCCGCUUUGCUUUGCACUGCCCUCAGAGAAGCAGUGUGCCCAGAAGUCAAGUGUGAGCUCUUGAGUCAAAAUGCUUGGAUUUGAAUUCCAACUCUGCUGCUUACCAGCUGUGUGACAUGGGGUGAGUGAGUUACCUGACCUCUCUGUACCUCUAUGUCAUCAUCUUUAAAAUGGAGGUAAGGAUGACACCUAUCUCAGAGUUAUUUCAGUAAGUGACUUAUCUCUUUUAGUAGGCAGAAUUUAUGUGAGACAUUUGUUUCCUCCAAAAUAUCUUGAAUUUAGUAGAUGCUCAAUCAAUAUUGCUGAAUGAAUGAAUGAAUGACAGACAACAUGGUGGGACUUGUUUAUCCUACAAGACUUGUUCUCAAGGCUUCAAAUAUGCAGGAAACGACUCACUGUCCCAGAAAUGCUGGGACUCUUGCCGCAAAGUAUAUGGGAGCUGCAAGCAUACCAGUUAUAGUUACAGGACUACUUAUGCACUCAUUUUCCUAGAAGUCCACUAUAGUUGACUAGAGUUUGAUGUUACCUGGCCUACCAGCAAGGAGAAUGUGCCUGUGGGAGAGGAAUGGCAGAUCUUUUUACUAGCCACUACCCUUAAGGGAAGAUACACUUUCAACCAUUCACUCACUCAACAAACAAUUUAUUAAGCACCCACCACACACCAAGUACUAUGGUUGGUACUGGCUAAGACAUGGUCCCUAGAAGAGAUUACAGUUUAGUAAAAGAGAUGGAAGACAGAUACUCUCACCAUAAUUUGGUAAAUAUUAUGAUAGGUGAUAAGCACAGAAUAUUGAGAACACGGAAAAGGGGAUUCAGCUUUGGAAGGAGAGCAGAGAAGGUUUCCCAGAGCAAGUAAGUGUUUAACAUGAUUCAGAGUUAGGAAGAUGACAAAAGGAACAGCAUUCGGGAAGACUCAGAGGCAUAAAAUACUAUGGUGAAUUCAGGGAUCUCCAGGGCAUCAUGUAUAGUUGAAAGCCAAGGUGUCUAAGAGAGAGGAGUCAGAAAGGAGGCAGUUUUUGGCUGGGUCUAAGUUACGCUAGCACCUUCUAGGGGCUGCUUAUCCCUAAAGAUGUCUCAUGUGAUUAGGCUUCAUGAGGUAACUAAGGUUAGAGUUAGCUCUAGAGGUCAGUGCUCUGCAUACACAAGAAUAGACAAGGAAGCUCCUUUUAGAAAACCCUAAAGCAAUAGCCACACAAAUUUUCCAUGAUGCAUUCCCUUGGCAUGGGGUCAGGAGGAGUUUGAGAGGGGAAGUAGAGCUAAGGGAAGUUUACCUGUAAGAAACUUGCAAAACGGUGUUGGGUUGCCAGCUGCAGGGGCACUCUAUGAUAGUCUGAUUAUGCUUGAAGGUUCUUAGGCCUGUUCUGCAGCCCUCUGGAAAAACUACCAAAUACUUGCUGUGUACAGGAUACUUUGCUAAGCAGCUUGGAGCAUUAUAAAAGAAAAUGUUAUCUGCAUCUCUGCCCCUACCCUGCCCUUGGCAGAGGAUGGCAGGAUAGCAUAAGUGGAUAAACGCAUGGGUUUUAGAGUCAGUCAGAUCUGGGUUUAAAUCUUGGCUCUGACACUGAUAGGCUGUGCAAUCUUAGAUAAAUUGCUCAACCUCUCUGUAUCUUGACUUGCUGUUCUGUAAAUGGUGACACAUACCACAUAGUUGUUAGUAUCAAAUGGACUAUUUUGUUUAAACCACAAAGAGAUUCACUGCCUUUGCUCAACACUUGGUACCUAGUAGAUGCUCAGUAAAUGGUAGCUAUUCUUAAAAUACUACCUGUUAUCUGUGUGUUGCUUUGAACUUCUCAAAGAAUUUUUAUCAUUUAAAUCUAAUUUAUUUCUAACAAGAAGCCCAUGAGGCAAUUGAGAAGUGUUUUUAUUUUACAAGCAAGAGCUGAGAGUAGUUUCCAAGUGACUUGUACAAUGCAGUAAGUGAAGGGGAACUUGACUUCAUUUGACAGGUGAGGCAUGGUGCCUUGCAUAUUACAAGACGCUGAUGGCCAAGUGAAUAACACAAGUCAGUAAGGACAAAAAAGGUCAAAAAUGCUGAUGGCCAAGUGAAUAACAGAAGUCAGUAAGGACGAGCGAGUACCGCAAGCCUAGGAGUAUUAGUUGCAGGCAGUUGAGAAUACUGGAGGCAAUCUUGGAGGUAUGGACAACAAAAAGGGAUUGUUAACGCCAGGAGGCAGGGAGGAAAAGGGCAUAUGACAGGCCAAGAAAGUCACAAAGGGGUAGGAGUGGGAGAGAAGAGACAACAGCAUAUUUGCUUGGCCAUAACAGAGCGUCUGCAUGAGGACACCACGAGCAGUCAGGUGCAGUGGGCAGUGGGGGGAGGGUCUUUAAGGUCCCCCAUGAAGUCAGAUAGUCAGAAGUCAUUAACAUGAUAUUGAGUGAGCCCUUACUAUAGACUAGGCAUUCCAGCUGAUCAAGGAGGACAUAAAGACACAGUGAAGGUUUUUGUUUUUUGUUUUUUUGAGAUGGAGUUUCGCUCUUGACGCCCAGGCUGUAGUGCAAUGGCAUGAUCUCUGCUCACUGCAACCUCCGCCUCCUCGGUUCAAGCAAUUCUCCUGCCUCAGCCUCCCAAGUAGCUAGGAUUACAGGCAUGAGCCACCACACCUGGCUAAUUUUUGUAGUUUUAGUAGAGAUGGGGUUUCACCAUGUUGGCCAGGCUGGUGUCAAACUCCUGACCUCAAGUGAUCCGCCUGUCUCGGGGCCUCCCAAAGGGCUGAGAUUACAGGCGUGAGCCAUCGUGCCUGGCCACAGUGAAGGUUUUUAAACAAGAAGGAAAUAACAGUCUCUGAGGGAGAUAAUUCUAGCAGUUGUGAGUAGGAUAUCCUGGCGAUCAGUUCAGCCUCAUCCCGUCAGCAGGCCUUAAGCAAAGCAGGAAGCCAAAACAAGAGGAAGUCUCAUCAGAACCUGGUGACAAACUGGUGAUAAGCUGGGUGGUGAUGGAGCGUGGGAAUGAGGGAGGGCUUUCUCUGUGCCGGUCACUUGCACAGGCCAUCUCAGUCAUUUACAGCCCAUAGGAAAUAUAAUCACCUCUGUUUUACGGAUGAGGAAAUGGAGGUUUACAGAGCUUAAGUAACUUGAUCAUAGUCAUUAAACUAAUAGGUGAUGAAACUGGGGUCUGAAACCAGGUUAACUCCGAAGCCCACUGCUUUUCCCACUGUAACGCUCUGCCUCCCUGGUAGCUCUGACACCAACAGGUGGUGCAAUCUUAGAUAAAUUGCUUAACCUCUCUGGAUUUAGACUUGCUGUUCUGUAAAUGGUGAUACAUAGCACAUACUUGUUAGUAUCAAAUGGAGUAUUUUGUUUAAACCACAAAGAGGUUCACUGCCUUUGCUCAAUGCCUAUUAGAUGCUCAGUAAAUGGUAACUAUUUUAAAAAUACUACCUGUUAUCUGAAUGUGAAGUCAAAAUAACUCUGUGAGUCUGGGGUGCAGGAGGACCUCGCAAUUGUGGACAGUGCUCAGGAAACUGGUAGAGGGGGCCUUUCCAGAGAGGAAGAUGCAUGGUUUUUGUUUUACAAAUUCUCCAGAUUAAAAAAAACUUGUAUGCAGUGGGGUGAUGUCUAUUUAUAGACAGCUGAAAUGUAUGGGGAGAAGAGAGGAGGACAGGGAUGGAUGUGUAUUAGGAAGUCACUGGCAGACAGGUGGUGGAUGUCUGAAAGGUAUGAACUGACAAACUCCUCUGUAAGUGAAACACAGGGGCACAGGACUGAGUUUUAGGAGACCCACAGCUAAUGGCAGAGGCAAGGGAAAAGGAAGGAGGGUCCCGCUUACACACACAGAUGGUCACACGCGCACACAGCCCCUCUGGGCUUAGGUGCUUCCCAGUGCCAGCUGAGAUACUCCUCCUCCUGUUCCAUUCUUGAAACUUAAUCAUGUUUCAAAGCACAACUCAAAUGUCUGCAGCUCCCAUUAGAAUUUAAACUCUUGUUCAUCUCUUUAACACCCAUAGUGUUCAGCAUAAUGUUUGGCACAUAAGAGGUGCUAAAUGAGUAUCUGUUGAGCUACAUAAUUAAAGGGACAAAUGGUUUGGGGAUGACAGUGACUCUGAGCCAUACCUCUUUCAUUUGUGAAGUGGAAUAAUCACUGUUAAGAUUAAGUGAGAUAUGUAGGUAAAGCAUUUAGUGCAGUAUGUGGAACAUGGCUGUUCAUUAACUGGUAAUUAUUACUAUUAGCCCACAGCAACCAGGGAAAUAGUCUAACAGAAGCCUAGGAUGAAGAAUUUCGGGAAAGAAGAAACGUCCAGCAAGGCCAAGUCCCUUUGUGUGUCAGUCUGCUUUCUCUCUCACACAUACGUGCACACAGGCUCGUACACACAAAGAUGUUAAGCAAAAUAUAAAGCCCCUCCACUGAUAGCUGAUGAUUGUGGAUUUUUCUCCUAACAUAAAAAGAGAUUCUUAGUCAUCUAGAUUUGGUGCUACAGUGGAUAGCUGAAAUGACCUUCAUCAAAAUCGUUGGGGAUUUUAGCAGAUGACAGUCCCACCUGUAUGCUUUGGUUUUUAUUGGAUUCCCUAAGUAAAAGUGUGCUUGCAGUUUGGAGGCUGCUUUGGGAGGGAAAUAGGGUACCCAAGAAUCCUGGAAUCAGCAACACUGCAUUGUCCAGCCUAUCACAGACAGAAAUCACUGCCCCCUGCACAAAACGCUCUCUGUGUUCAAACAAAGCAGCUGUGUGGCCUUCCAGCAGAGUUCUCGCUCCUCAGCUGAGACCUGAGGCGGGCUGAGGAUGCAGAACAAAGACCUGGCAUCUGGAGGCCCAACUGGGUGAAAGGGCCCUGGCUUUUCAACAACCCGACAGUUCCCUUUUAUCACAGCAUAUCCCUCCCAGUCAGCAACUUUCUCCUCACCUUUGGGCCUGAGUGUGCACCCAAAGCCUGGAGUUUAUCCACUAGAAUGAGGACUCCAAGAACCAAGUCUCCUAUCUGGGGCUGUGGCCCACUCCCUUAGGACUCGGCUUCCCUGAAGGCCAGGCCCAAGGGACCCCUGCUGCCUGCCUCUCUUCUGCCCUCCAUUGCUCAGUCCUCAUGUCAGUGAGAAGGGCAAGCCAGGCCCUUCUCCUUCCCCUCCAAAGCCCAACCUCUUAGGCUCUGUUCUCCGCCCCUUACUCCCCUCCCCCACCUGCUCCCCCACCCCUAUUCUCGGCAUAAGGGACCUUUUCUAUUUGCAGAGCCUGAAGAAGCCGGUUGCCAAGGUGACAGGAGCAGGAACAGCAGGGAGCUUGCCAUGGGGGAGGGGCUUUGCCCCCAAACAGCUGUCAGUGGGAGCAGUCCCAGCUGGGACUGGAGGGUCUGCCUGCUCUGGGAGGAAACAGCCCCCAGGAGAACACAUUCCUCACUGCCAUACCCCCUCCUACUGGCCCACUGCAAGUCUCCACUGGUUACUUUCCCUGGGGGCAGCCAGCCAGCCAGCUCAAAAAAUGCUCCAAUAACAAACAAAAAAUGUGUGCGCGCUCGCUUGCUUUCUCUCUCCCAGACACACACACACACACACACACACUUGCUUUCACACACACACACACACACACACACACACACACACGCUCAAGCACGCUCUUCUCUCCUGCUCUCAGAUCCCUUGGUUCAUUGACAGUGGGUUGGCUGGGCAGGAGGCCAGAAGUCACCUCUGCCCAGGGAACUGUAUAGCCCAAGACAGGUGCUGCUCCUGGCUGCCGUGCACUAGGUCCUAAGAAUGAUUUCAGUCUUUUUGUCCAGAGGCCCUGAGAGGACCUUCCCCUACUAAAACUCCCCAGCUGCCUUCCAUAUGGGAGGUGGGAGUGGGGCAGCGCCAUCUCUGGGCUUACAGAGAGGAAGGGGUGGGAGAGAGGAAGAAUGAACAGGAUGGUGGGAGGCAGGAACAAUGCAGGCCCACUGCUUUGUGUCUCUGGGGAGAGGUUCUUUGUGGAGCUGCAGCUCACAGCUGCUCCAUAGAAAGUUCUGUGGAGCCACUGGUCUCUGUACUGCAUUCUAGCCAGGCACUGUUAGCCUUAGGCCCUCGGGCCUCAAGCCUGUCACCUGCUGGUGUUUACCUUUACAUGGGGUCUCCACCAGACUCUGCAAACCCUCAAUAGGCUUAGACCCCCCAGAUACUUUCAGCUUUGGGUCAGAAACAGGAAAGGCUGAGGAGGCCCCAGAUUACUGUAAGAACUGAGAGGGACGAUCUGGCUUGAGAUGAAGAACAGUGUUUGACUCAGCCAGCUAUGGCCCCCAGUCCUGCCACUUACUACUUAGGUGACUUUGAGUGCGUGACGGAUGUGGUAAGCUCCUGGAGAACCUCUCUGAGCUUCAGUUUGCUCAUCUGUAAAAUGGAUAAAGACAGCUACCGGACAGGGAUCUUUCCAGGGUUUAAAGAAGCGUGAUGCAUACAAUGCAGGGCACGUUAUCUAGCACACGACGGACGUCCUGUGAGUGCUGGUCCCGUUUCUGUCCAGUUUUCUUGAGAACUGAGUUGCCUAGCAGCCUUAGGAGGAACCCAAGAACUAGUCUUUCUUUUGAACAGUGUUAGAACUUGGGGGGCUGGCUUAGAUUUAGAGAGAGGUUACAUUUCGGCCUGGGCUGGAAGGGGGUUCUCAGGAAGGCCUGAGACGCAGAUGGUCCGCCAGGGCAUGCGGAUUGAAUGAGAAACUAGAAGAAGUGCUCAUCUGGGGUCUCAGCUGUAGUCCAAGCUGCUUUCAACGCAUUGAAAGAGCCCCCAGUCUACCCUUCUGAGCCUCACUUUCUUUUUCCAUAAAAGGAAGAGGCUGGGCCACUUUCUGGAGAAAGCCAUGCCAGACAGUGAGAAACAUCUGAAGCCACAGGGCCGUGAGGCCUCCGUGGGGAGGUGCCUUUCUUGGCUCAGCGGUGACCACUGGAAUGCAGCGACUGACCCUUUGCCCCUGGGUGACUUCUGAAGCCUCAAGAAGGUGAAUGAGGGAUUUUGACCCCGUUUCCUCCUAACUCAGUGCCAUGUGCGCUGCUUUGCUUUUCUCUGCCUGGGAACCUUCCCCACUCUGUCUGUCAGGUCACAUGCUCGUGCCGCAAGGCUCAUGUGCCAUGUCCUCUGAAGGACGGCAUCUCUGACCCAUUCUGCCUGACAGGCAGCUGACCAUCUGUGCCCACACUGUACCUGGUACUUAGUCCUAAAAUAGAAUUUAUGAAGUGGAAUGGAUUUGCUUCUAUAUCUGGUUCCCUUCUUUUGACUGCACACUCUAGGGAAAAAUAAAAAUCCUAUCUUAUUUUGACAAAGAUGUAUUGAGAUAUAUUCUUGAUGUAUUUUCUCAAGAAAAAACCCCACAGAUUAGAUUGGAUGGUAAAAUGGUUUGAGAGAGGACUGAGGUUAGUGGUUGUCUCAGGGAUGCGAUCAGCGUGACCCUCUCUUUAAUGCAAAGCCAUGUGCUUCGCCACUCUAUUUAUUUCUAUGGUAAAACAGGGUGGUCUUGUUACCUAGAUCGAUAGGCCUGGCUUCUUGGGCUCUUGGCAGAUUUUCCCAUUAAAGAUUGCCUACAAUGGGCAGCACAGGGAGAGUUUUAGUAGGCAGGGAAAGGGGUCUAGCAGGGCAUGUGGAUUCAUCGGACCUGCCUCACAAGCAAGCUCCUAGAUUUAUUCUCAAGUGUUACCCUCACUAGCAAGCCUUUCCUAGCUCCUCUCCUCAAGCCACAUAGCUCUUCUGUUCUGACAGUGUUCAGAGCUUAGAUCUAUUAUGGCAUAUGCACUGCACUCUCUGUCUCCCCAGCUACACUGUGGAGGGCAGGACCUGAGUCUCAUUUAUCUCUGCACACCUAGAAUUGGCAACAUGAUUGGCAAAUACUAAUCAACAAAUGCUUGCUGAAUGAUGAGAAAAAUAAACUUCCUACAUUCCCAUCUCUCUGUCUGGUUCUUACAUGCUUCUGGCUAGCCCCUGGCCUUUUUGCUGAGUCUUGGAGAAUUUCAAAAUAGUUCAACUGCCUGCCUCCAGCCACUCCAGGUUGUGCCCACAGCUCCACCGCUGUGGCUGCGUACCCUGAUUCAUCGCUGUGCCUACAGUGCAGAAGGACUCCUUUAUUCCAACUAACAUGGCUGCCCUGCGUAAAGUUAGACCAGAAGCAUGGCACAGAGCCAGGAGCUGAUGGACAUUUUGAGAUAGGGAGGGAGGAGAGAGAGAUCCAUGGCUGGUAUCUUUGCAAAUCCAUGGGAAAAAGGAAAGUGUGAAAGUCUCCUCCUGACUCACGGCCCUGAGUUUUCUGGGAAAGGAUUCCUGCUUCCUGAAGACCUUACCUGGUGCAAUGAGGGGGUGGGCAGCCACAGCAGGAACCGUCCGGCUGAGCCCAGCCCGGCCUUCCAUGCUCCCUGG
rnacentral:lncRNA from 10 species